GAAAUUAAUAUGGCUGCGCCCAUGUAGUGAAAAAUAUGAACCUGCCAAAACUAACACAGUCAAUACAUGGUAUAUCUUCAAUAUUUUCACAUCAAAUAUGAAAUUUGAGAAACAUUUGAAAGCACCACAGAAUGUACUUGAUGACAUACAUGCACCAUGUAGGUGUACACUUGCAUCUUGACUCUGAGUGCACAAAUGCAUUCUAAUUUCAAACAAGUAAUAGCUUUUCUAAAAAGCUAGCCGUCUCUUAGCUUCAGGAUGAAAGUAGAAAGUGUUAAAAUUCAUAAAGGCUAAUACAAUUUUUUCCUAAUUUACUAAUGUUUUUUUGGAGAUUAAUAUACCAACACUGGAUUAGAAAGGGUGAUGCCUUAACUGUUUUUUUUUUAAUUAAAUAUGAAAAUAUUUAUAAAAGUAUAUUUUAAACAUGGCUCUGGGAUAAUUAUUUUGUUUUUGCCAGUAUUUCUACUCUACGUAUAGCAGUAUAAUUGUAGAUUUAAUAUUAAUGCAUACACAUAUUACACACUCGUUAAUGUCUUACUUGAAAUACUUGUAUGCAAUUGCAUUAAAAAGCUAUAAAAAAAAGCACAUAAAUGUUCAGUGUGUAUCUAUAUAUAUGUCUGACAUGAUGACUCACCUAUCACACAUAAGAAACAAAGUGAAAUGUAGUUUUUUAAAUACAAUGUAUUAGUAGAAAUUGACAGUAGAGUUCUAGUUAAUCUAUAUUAAUUAAUAUUGACAACACUACAUGUAGUUUUAUUAUGGAUUUUUGUAUAAUUUCAGGUUCUGAAAAAAUCACAGGGAUGAUAAAUUUAGACAAGAAGGAUCGACCACCAACAUGCUACACUUACUGGAACUUGAAAAACCUGCAAUUCACAAGAACAAGCCAAAGACUAGUAUUACCGUACAAAGUGGUUGAGGGUAUGGUCCCAGCUAUCCAAACCUGACAAAUUAUUGGUAACAAGCAAUCUUUACCAAAAAGGAACAUCAAGCCGACACGCUUUGCAGACUUUGAAAGUGAUAAUUUAUAAAUUUGGUUAAGGCUAUUGAAACAACAAACUGUGAAAACGAGCAAUUUAAAAACACAUUCUUUGUCAAAACUGUGAUUCAUUGAAAGAAGACGUAGUGUGCGCCAAGUCAGUUGAGAGCUUUAAAACAGCUCACCAAGGCCGUCAAUAGGAGUCCGCUCUCCCGUCAAGUUCAAGCCAGAAUUGGGACCUUCGAUGUAACAAUGCAGAUACAUAUAGCAUGAAAAGUUUUAUAUAAUGAACAUUUAUAUUUAUAUCUAUUGAUGUUUCAGUACAAGUAUGAUUAUUUGUUUUUGUUGUGAUCUAUGACAUACAUGUAUAGUAUAAACAAUUUUGAGAAACUCAGAGAAAGUGUUAUCUGUAUACAUGACAGUUCCGUGAAAAUGUUAACCAACUUUUGUGUCAACUUAUUCAUUCAUCUAAAAACUGAUACAAGCCAAUAUUAGAAUUCAAUAGAUUAAGACUAUAAAAUCAGUUUUGACCUAGGCCUGUUCAAGUUUAUUAAGGUCAAAAUAAGAUAAAACAAAGUUUCAUAAUAUAAAAUAUCAAUGUAGGAGCAAACGGUGAAAAUGAUUUAGAUCCUAGUGCAAUAUGAGAUGGGUGACAUGUAUUUAGAUCCUGGUGCUCUAGAGGGGUGACAUUGAGUUGGAUCUGUUUGCUCAAACUAAAAUUUACAGUGCUUUAAAAAAUGAUAAGUGAUCAUGCUUUAUAAAGUUAUAAACUGUUAGGUACAAUCUGUAUACUUACUUCCUGACAAUUUUAUUUUUACUUCUAAGUGUUUUAAAAUGUAAAAUUUGAAGCAGUAAGACAUAAAAUAACUGAUAAGUCUUACUUUGUUCUUUUUUUUUAAAAUAAUAUUUUGAGGGAGAGUUUAUUCAUUUUGGUUUUGCAAGGAGAGCUGAUUGAUUUAAACAGGGGCCGUGCAAUAACUAGAUGGGUUAUUUUAUUAAACUGACGUUUUAAAUUUUUUUCAUCGAAAUAACUUUAGAAUUGUAAACUGAAUAUUCUAAAUACAUGUAUGAAAUAUUGUUAAUAUUGAUUAGGGUACAGCUUAUUAAUGGUUUUGAAACAUGAAUUUAAAUGGUUACUUUGAAGUAAAUUGAGAACAUGUUACCUAUUUGUUUGUUGUUGGUUGGACACCUUUUUCUAUACUUGAAAUUAACUACUUUGUAUUGUCUACUAAAAUGUAUUUUACAGUUCUGAUGUUAUGCAUCUUAUGUAAAUAAAAUAUGUAGGAUUU
rnacentral:lncRNA from 1 species